rnacentral:rRNA from 1 species
GCAAGUCGCACGAGAACGAUCCAGCUUGCUGGAUCAAGUAAAGUGGCGCACGGGUGAGUAACGCGUGGAUGAUCUACCCUUGAAUUUGGGAUAACUCUUCGAAAGGGGAGCUAAUACCGGAUGACAUCUCAUUUUUUUCGAAUUUUGAGAUCAAAGAUGGCCUCUCCAUGGAAGCUAUUGUUUGAGGAUGAGUCCGCGUACCAUUAGCUAGUUGGCAGGGUAAAGGCCUACCAAGGCGACGAUGGUUAGCUGGUCUGAGAGGAUGACC